ACGCUCGACACCUACGGGAGGCAGCAGUGGGGAAUAUUGCACAAUGGGGGAAACCCUGAUGCAGCGACGCCGCGUGAGCGAAGAAGUAUCUCGGUAUGUAAAGCUCUAUCAGCAGGGAAGAAGAUGACGGUACCUGACUAAGAAGCACCGGCUAAAUACGUGCCAGCAGCCACGGUAAUCUGAGCGGGCUGGCAAGGC
rnacentral:rRNA from 1 species